UACCUGGUUGAUCCUGCCAGUAGUCAUAUGCUUGUCUCAAAGACUAAGCCAUGCAUGUCUAAGUAUAAGUAUUAUACAGCGAAACUGCGAAUGGCUCAUUAAAACAGUUAUAGUUUAUUUGAUAAUCGAAACCUACAUGGAUACCCGUGGUAAUUCUAGAGCUAAUACAUGCUGGUGUGCCCGACUUUUGCGGAAGGGCGGUAUUUAUUAGAUAACAAGCCAAUAUUCCUCUGGUCUAUUGUGGUGACUCAUAAUAACUGAUCGAAUCGCAAGGCCUAUGGCCGCGAUAAAUCAUUCAAGUUUCUGCCCCAUCAGCUUUCGAUGGUAGUGUAUUGGACUACCAUGGCGUUUACGGGUAACGGAGGAUUAGGGUUCGAUUCCGGAGAGGGAGCCUGAGAAACGGCUACCACAUCUAAGGAAGGCAGCAGGCGCGUAAAUUACCCAAUCCUGAUUCAGGGAGGUAGUGACAAGAAAUAACGGACCGAGGCCCUCGGGCUUCGGGAUUGCAAUGAGCCGAAUUUACACCCCUUAGCGAGGAUCAAUUGGAGGGCAAGUCUGGUGCCAGCAGCCGCGGUAAUUCCAGCUCCAAUAGC
rnacentral:rRNA from 1 species